GCAUCAGGGAAUGCCGCCUCCUGGUGGCGAUUCCCCACCGAUGCACGUCAGUGAGCCCCAGACCCCGACCCGCGCGCACUACAGCGAGUUUUGGGCCUAAGUUAAAGAUAAGGUCAAAAAAAAGUUCACUUUAACUCACAAACUUCAGAAUGAAAACUAUUUAUCAAACUUCUAAAACUGAUCUAUUUGACCGAAGUGAAGGAUAAGUGUCAAAAUCCUGGACUUUUUCCUCCUGCGCUAAGAAUAACGUCUAUGUAUCAAAAUGAUUUCAGUGUGAAAAUGAACUGAAGAGGACUCCGAAGGCGUCGUGGGCUGGUUCACACGAGGGGCGUCAAAGGCUUCGGCCCCAAACCGAGGCCGAACACUCACCUCCUGAGACAAAUUCUGAAAAAGCUGUGAAGAGUAUUAUGAAGGAAGAGACUCAGAUGGACAGUAGUUCAGAGUGUGUCAUUGUUGUUGGUUUUUUUUCUUUGGCAUUCCUCAACAAACAGCAGAACUAAAGCUGGAAUUUAUUUUCCGUACAUCUUCACUUUCUGCGCUCGUCAACGUAUGAAACUCUGUGUUGGAUGAUUUAUAUUCCCCUGGAUCCUGCUCCAGGUUAGUUUUUCUCUUGGUUUCCAUUUCUCUCCAUUUCCGAUUUUUCCAUCCCUAUUUCCAUUUUAUAAAUUUAUGAGACUGUUGUUCAUUUCAAUUUUAAAUUCCUCCUGCUAUUAAGGAUUUCAUUAAAACACGCAGCAAAUGAGCGACACUUCAGGUCCAGGUCAACUCCCAGAUCUUCAGCGUCAAAGUCACCGAGGACAUGGACACAUCUGAAGUGUCAACAGGAAAAUUCAACAAAAAGUAACUGCGUAUUAAUAAAAGAGUUCUAGUGAAGUUCUAGAGCAAAGUCAGCAUCAGGGGUGGGGUUUUUGUGACGGACUGUAAAGUCUAUUUUGAGUCACGAUCUAGAUCAGGGAACCUUUACCUUCUUUAUCCUGACACCCAAAGUUGUGUCCCAGGGCCCAAGGCUCAUCAAUGUAUAGUUAACCACGUAGCCUACUGUCAAGAAAGAGAGAAACAUAGCACCUCAACUCAUGGAACUCAAGUAAAUCGUCUCAUUACAUGUCUAAAUGAACAUUAGACCCGUUAGUGACGGAGUUUUCUAACUAGGUUCGGGCUUAGCGACGACGCUCGGGUGUGGACGGCCUGAACGUCACCCUCCUGACACCUGACACAGACUGAAAACCUGGGAAAAUGUCCCAGCGGGGGGCCAUUGCAGGAGCAAUUUAAAAUCAGCCAGAUCUUUGUCCUAAAGAAACCUUUAACGCCUGGUGUUAGCGCCAGUUGAUGCUGAAGUAUGCUGGGAAAAACACCCCGGGAUUGAACCGAAAUGACAUUUUCUUUUUAAAACCACUGUCUACACACAGAUCUUUUGAUGUGUCUGCUCUAGGCAAACUUGAGAGGAAGUGGUGUGACGUUGACGAUGCACAGUGUCUCUUUGUUUUUUUUCCCCAGAAAACGAGAGAGAAAAGUACCCAAAGUACACGACAAACACUUUGAAUCGCACACACGGUUCUGCUUUCCAGAUUCCAGCUCUUGUCCCUUCCAGAUGUAGGGAGAGCACGGUUACUGAGGGUAACUUCCUUUCUCUCCGGAACACUUCUCAGAAGGUGUGUGCGUCUUCGAGUUUUAAGAAACUGGAUGAAUGGCUUUUACUCUUACGUUGGAAGUCCCCGGGUAGAUCACGUGAGGCAUAAAAAGCCCCAGAACAGCUACUGAUUGGACGAUGUGCUGUGACUGUUGCUGUUCCAAAGGUCAAGACUAAAACGUCAGUCUCAGCUGCUUGAGAAAGCCUGAAAAUGAAGCCAUCUGGUCACAAGACGACACAUCUGCCAAAUGAGCAGCGACCACUCAACCUACCCAUGCC